rnacentral:rRNA from 1 species
AUGGUAGAUUUUACCAGCAACAACCUCACAGGCCGUAUUCCAAGAAGUUUAGGGAAUUUCACUAAACUCACUAUCUUGUACCUUGGUGGUAACAAAUUCUCUGGAUAUAUCCCUCAAGAACUAGGUCAUCUCUUGAAUUUGCAAGAGUUGUCUCUUAGGCAAAAUAACCUCACUGGUUCCAUUCCAAAUACUUUUCGGGGUUUGAUUAACCUCACUGCCUUGUACCUAUGGGGUAACCAACUUUCUGGGCAUAUUCCUCCAGAACUAGGUUACCUUGUAAGUCUGGGAAUAUUAGAUCUUAACUCCAACAAGCUCAAGGGUUCCAUCCCCGAUACCUUUGGGAGUCUGAAUAACUUCACUGUUUUGUAUCUAUGGGAUAAUCAACUUUCCGGCAAGUUCCUCGAGAACUAG